rnacentral:rRNA from 1 species
UUCGCCCUUAGAGUUUGAUCCUGGCUCAGGAUGAACGCUGGCGGCGUGCUUAACACAUGCAAGUCGAACGGAGCUUAGACGGAAGCUUGCUUCUAUUUAAGCUUAGUGGCGGACGGGUGAGUAACGCGUGAGCAACCUGCCCUCGAGUGGGGAAUAACAUCGAGAAAUCGGUGCUAAUACCGCAUAAAAUGGAGAGACCGCAUGGUCAUUCCAUCAAAGGAUUUAUUCGCUUGAGGAUGGGCUCGCGUCCGAUUAGCUAGAUGGUGAGGUAACGGCUCACCAUGGCGACGAUCGGUAGCCGGACUGAGAGGUUGAACGGCCACAUUGGGACUGAGACACGGCCCAGACUCCUACGGGAGGCAGCAGUGGGGAAUAUUGCACAAUGGGGGAAACCCUGAUGCAGCAACGCCGCGUGAAGGAAGACGGUCUUCGGAUUGUAAACUUCUGUUCUUAGUGAAGAUAAUGACGGUAGCUAAGGAGCAAGCCACGGCUAACUACGUGCCAGCAGCCGCGGUAAUACGUAGGGGGCAAGCGUUAUCCGGAUUUACUGGGUGUAAAGGGAGCGUAGACGGCGCUGCAAGUCAGAUGUGAAAGGCUGGGGCUUAACCCCGGGACUGCAUUUGAAACUGUAGUGCUUGAGUGCCGGAGAGGUAAGCGGAAUUCCUAGUGUAGCGGUGAAAUGCGUAGAUAUUAGGAGGAACACCAGUGGCGAAGGCGGCUUACUGGACGGUAACUGACGUUGAGGCUCGAAAGCGUGGGGAGCAAACAGGAUUAGAUACCCUGGUAGUCCACGCGGUAAACGAUGAAUAAUAGGUGUUGGCAGCCCCAGGCUGUCGGUGCCGCCGCAAACGCAUUAAGUAUCCACCUGGGGGAGAACGUUCGCAAGAAUGAAACUCAAAGGGAUUGGACGGGGCCCCGCCACAAGCAGCGGACCAUGUGGUUUAAUUCGAAGCAAACGCGAAGAACCUUAAUCAGGAAUUGACAUCCUCUAGAAAGCUUGGUUAAAAACCGAGCCCUCUUAGGACAAGAGAGACAGGUGGUGCAUGGUUGUCGUCAGCUCGUGUCGUGAGAUGUUGGGUUAAGUCCCGCAACGAGCGCAACCCUUGUCUUUAGUUGCCAUCAGGUUAAGCUGGGCACUCUAGAGAGACUGCCGGGGACAACUCGGAGGAAGGUGGGGAUGACGUCAAAUCAUCAUGCCCCUUAUGUUCUGGGCUACACACGUGCUACAAUGGCCGGUACAGAGAGAUGCAAAACCGUGAGGUGGAGCCAAACUCUAAAGCCGGUCCCAGUUCGGAUUGUAGGCUGCAACUCGCCUACAUGAAGUCGGAGUUGCUAGUAAUCGCGGAUCAGCACGCCGCGGUGAAUGAAAGCCCGGGUCUUGCACUCACCGCCCGUCA